UAAGGUAGCGAAAUUCCUUGUCGGGUAAGUUCCGACCCGCACGAAAGGCGUAAUGAUUUGGAUACUGUCUCGGAGAGGGGCUCGGUGAAAUAGACUUGUCUGUGAAGAUGCGGACUACCUGCACCAGGACAGAAAGACCCUAUGAAGCUUUACUGUAACUUGAAAUUGAAAUUGGACUUUAUUCGCGCAGCAUAGGUGGGAGGCGUUGAUUAUAAUCUCGCGGGAUUAUUGGAGCCAUCAGUGAGAUACCACUCUUGUAAUGUUAGAUUUCUAACUUUGAAUCAUUAUCUGGUCAAAGGACAGUUUCAGGCGGGCAGUUUGACUGGGGCGGUCGCCUCCUAAACGGUAACGGAGGCGUACAAAGGUUUCCUCUGAACGGUUAGAAAUCGUAUCUAGAGUGUAAAGGCAUAAGGAAGCUUGACUGUGAGACCUACAAGUCGAGCAGGGACGAAAGUCGGUCUUAGUGAUCUGACGGUACUGAGUGGAAAGGCCGUCACUCAACGGAUA
rnacentral:rRNA from 11 species